rfam:Betaproteobacteria bacterium RIFCSPLOWO2_02_FTLL_66_14 rifcsplowo2_02_scaffold_2909, whole genome shotgun sequence.
UCGGGAUUGCAGGCUCCCGGUCACCCAAGACGCCGGUGCGUCCAAGCUCUGC